rnacentral:rRNA from 1 species
UACGGAGGGUGCAAGCGUUACUCGGAUUUACUGGGCGUAAAGCGCAUGUAGGCGGUUAGAUAAGUCUGUUGUGAAAUCCCGGAGCUCAACUCCGGAAGUGCAGUGGAUACUGUUUAACUAGAAUUCAGGAGAGGAGAGUGGAAUUCCUGGUGUAGAGGUGAAAUUCGUAGAUAUCAGGAGGAACACCGGUGGCGAAGGCGGCUCUCUGGACUGACAUUGACGCUGAGAUGCGAAAGCGUGGGUAGCAAAC